rnacentral:rRNA from 1 species
UACGGGAGGCAGCAGUGGGGAAUAUUGCACAAUGGGCGCAAGCCUGAUGCAGCCAUGCCGCGUGUAUGAAGAAGGCCUUCGGGUUGUAAAGUACUUUCAGUCGUGAGGAAGGUGUUAAGGUUAAUAACCUUAGCAAUUGACGUUAGCGACAGAAGAAGCACCGGCUAACUCCGUGCCAGCAGCCGCGGUAAUACGGAGGGUGCGAGCGUUAAUCGGAAUUACUGGGCGUAAAGGGCACGCAGGCGGUUAAUUAAGUUGGAUGUGAAAUCCCCGGGCUUAACCUGGGAAUGGCAUUCAAGACUGGUUAGCUAGAGUCUUGUAGAGGGGGUAGAAUUCCAUGUGUAGCGGUGAAAUGCGUAGAGAUGUGGAGGAAUGCCGGUGGCGAAGGCGGCCCCUGGGACAAAGACUGACGCUCAUGUGCGAAAGCGUGGGGAGCAAACGAGGGAUUAGGAU